AACGUUCAUUUACUGUUGCAAAAAUUUUUUUAGCAACGUUCAACGAAUGUUGCAAAAAGGUUUUUUGCAACAGUCAAUGAAUGUUGCGAAAAAUAA
rnacentral:miRNA from 1 species